rnacentral:rRNA from 1 species
AGUGGCGGACGGGUGAGUAACGCGUGAGAAUCUGCCUUGGGGUCGGGGACAACCACUGGAAACGGUGGCUAAUACCGGAUAAGCCGAUUGGUGAAAGAUUUAUUGCCCGAAGAGGAGCUCGCGUCUGAUUAGCUAGUUGGUGAGGUAAGAGCUCACCAAGGCAGCGAUCAGUAGCUGGUCUGAGAGGACGAUCAGCCACACUGGGACUGAGACACGGCCCAGACUCCUACGGGAGGCAGCAGUGGGGAAUUUUCCGCAAUGGGCGAAAGCCUGACGGAGCAAGACCGCGUGAGGGAGGAAGGCUCUUGGGUUGUAAACCUCUUUUCUCAGGGAAGAAGCUCUGACGGUACCUGAGGAAUCAGCCUCGGCUAACUCCGUGCCAGCAGCCGCGGUAAUACGGAGGAGGCAAGCGUUAUCCGGAAUUAUUGGGCGUAAAGCGUCCGCAGGUGGCGAUUCAAGUCUGCUGUCAAAGCACGGGGCUUAGCUCCGUAAAGGCAGUGGAAACUGAAUAGCUAGAGUGCCGUAGGGGUAGAGGGAAUUCCCGGUGUAGCGGUGAAAUGCGUAGAGAUCGGGAAGAACAUCGGUGGCGAAAGCGCUCUACUGGACGGCAACUGACACUCAGGGACGAAAGCUAGGGGAGCGAAUGGGAUUAGAUACCCC